UACGUAGGGGGGCGAGCGUUGUCCGGAUUUAUUGGGCGUAAAAGAGCUCGUAGGCGGCUUGGCAAGUCGGGUGUGAAACCUCCAGGCUCAACCUGGAGACGCCACUCGAUACUGCUAUGGCUAGAGUCCGGUAGGGGACCACGGAAUUCCUGGUGUAGCGGUGAAAUGCGCAGAUAUCAGGAGGAACACCGGUGGCGAAGGCGGUGGUCUGGGCCGGCACUGACGCUGAGGAGCGAAAGCGUGGGUAGCAAACAGG
rnacentral:rRNA from 1 species